UACACCCUCUCUGCCUGGGACCACCACCACCACCACCACCACUACCACCACCACUACCACAACCACCACCACCGCACACCACCACGAUAUGUGCCACCUGCACCGGACGACACCAGGAGAGGAUAGUCCUCUUUUGGUCUCCACGGAUCAGCUGCUUUUAUAUAUCCUCACCUUCCUAUCGAUCUCUCUCCCUCUAUCUCUUUCCCUUUACCUUUAUUUAUAAGAAAGAAAACUCCAACGACGAGUCUCCUCUUCUUCUUCUUCUUCUUCUUCUUCUUCUUCCGAUCCUACACAUUACUCUCUUUCUCUCUCUCUCUCUCUUUCGGAUUGCUCAGAUCUAAGGACGGGUUGAAUUCUCGAUCGAACGGAGGCGCACACGUGGCGGAUGGAAGAAGAAAUGUGUGGUGAAACGAGGAUACACGGACGGGGCAACGACUGGUUCGUACGUGGGCUCGUAAAAAUCCGUGACAGCGUCCCGACGCUACGCGGCACGGCACCCUCGGCCUCCCCUCUUCGAGAACGCGGCUGGUCGUCCAGCAGCUGCCAGCUGAUCCACACAACGCGGCGUGUGUCGCGUGCAUGGAGUUGUGUGCACGCGUGCCUCGAAUGUAGGAAGCGCGACCAUGCGGCUUUGUAUAUACGAUGCUCGGGCCAGGCGAUCGGCCGGGUACUAAUGCAAAUUAGAAAUCUGUUUAAGAGGGUAAUGAUCAAUACAUAACCGGCGGCGGCGGCGGCGGCGGUGGUGGCGGCGCCGGCAGGCGCAGACGCUGUGCGAAGAGAGUCAUUCAAUAAGUGUUAUACGUGCCUCGACGGUGAAGGGGGAACGACUGCACGAGGGGUUGGAACUACCCCGUGACGUGCUACCCCCUAUGGUCGUCACCGAAACUAUCCGUCACAACCCCUGAUACACUGUGACUGCCGGCUGCUUCUUUAUCAACGGACGGGGGUGGAUGGAGCGGCGUUUCCUUUUAUCGAUAUGGAAGAAUGUGAAAACCAUUUUUUUCAAUCACGGGGCUGUAUCGAGUGUUUUUGCGUGACAUCUUGGGUCGGUCGGUCAUGGGUUGUCCAUCCGUAGGUGAUGGAUAAAACUCGUAGAACGUAUCGUAUCCGAUAAAUUGUAUCUUGAAUGAUGAAAGAAGAAUUGUUAUUUAUAUAUAUAUGUUUCCAUUUAGAUGAUUGCUUGAUCGUUUUGCAAAAUCCAUUUUCCAUCAGGACGAAAAGAGAUUGAUGGGGUGGUUUCUUCUAUCCAGUAAAUUAUCGACUGGAUUAACCUCUGCUGCUCGGUUAAUUCUUGCUCAAAAAACAAAGAAAGAAACGUGCGUAUCGUGAAAAUUAGGCUCGUGGAAAGUUCUCUUCGUCCAUCACGGCUCUCCUCCAGUUUCUCGGCCGAUAAUUCGAUCGAGAUCGAGUCCACUUGAAUCGAUCAUCACCACCGAUUAUUAUCGUAAUCACCCUCCUGCUCCAUUAUUCAUUGAAAUAUCUUUUCGAUCAAUCGAAGGUAACAGUUUCGGAGGGUUCGUUCUACGGGGCGGCGGAUCGAUAUUUAUGUCGGGGUGAAUGUGGAUGUGACCGAGGGAAAGGAAAUGGGGGAAAAGGGUGAUGGAGUUAUUGAAUGAGUCGUGUCGUUCGAUUCGUUGAAAAGGGUCCAGGUGUCGCUGAAAUGUCGACGAGGAACGAACCUGUGAUUGUGAUCCAGGGUGGAAUGAUCCGUCUUCGGCGCCGAGGACACCAGUGCGUGGGACGCCAACGCGUGUGCGUGCGGACUUAGUCCAGGAUGCGGAGGCAUCAGGCCCGUCGGCGAAAACCGGUAGAGAUCACUGGAAAAUUUAUUAAAGAUUUGGUGAUUUAAAGUGUUAGGUUGCAAGUAUGCUAGAUUGAAUAACAAUAUGAUUUCACGAUGAUUGAAAGAUAAUUAAAAUAUAAUAAGUGGCGUAGAAAUUCCAAUCUUUUGAAGAUAUCGAAGAUACUUGUAUAUAUCGUUCAAAAUAAAUUUUGUUCAAAAUAUUAUCCUAAAAAACUGUUACACUUACUUAUAUUGAAUAAUUUUUGAAUAAUAUAUUCUGAAUUUUAUUAUCAGAAAAA